CUGUUAAGACGAACGAGGAAGGCGUAUUGACAAUAAAACGUAGCAAAGUGUUAACCAUCUACUCAAUCAUUUUGUGUCUAACACUAGUUACAUUAGUCGGGACUGGAUUCAAGGAUUAUAGCAAGGUUAAAUUUUGCGUGAAUUCUUCAACGCUACAAGUGGUCAC